rnacentral:rRNA from 1 species
ACCGAAUAGAUACCCUGGUAGUCCACGCCGUAAACUAUGAACGCUAGCCGUUGGCGAGCUUGCUCGUCAGUGGCGCAGCUAACGCAUUAAGCGUUCCGCCUGGGGAGUACGGCCGCAAGGUUGAAACUCAAAGAAAUUGACGGGGGCCCGCACAAGCGGUGGAGCAUGUGGUUUAAUUCGACGCAACGCGCAGAACCUUACCAGGGUUUGACAUCCCGAGACCGCUGCUGAAAGGCAGUUUCCCGCAAGGGCUCGGAGACAGGUGCUGCAUGGCUGUCGUCAGCUCGUGUCGUGAGAUGUUGGGUUAAGUCCCGCAACGAGCGCAACCCUCGCCUUUAGUUGCCAUCAUUAAGUUGGGCACUCUAGAGGGACCGCCGGCGACAAGCCGGAGGAAGGUGGGGAUGACGUCAAGUCCUCAUGGCCCUUACACCCUGGGCUACACACGUGCUACAAUGGCGGUGACAGUGAGCAGCUAACUCGCGAGAGUAUGCUAAUCCCC